GUGCUCACUUCAGCAACACAUUUGCUAAAAUUGGAAUGAUACAGAGGUUAGCAUGGUCACUGCAUAAGGACAGUGUGCAAACUCAUGAAGUAUUCCAUAUUUUA